AGUGGCGCACGGGUGAGUAACACGUGGGAAUCUGCCUAUUGGUGGGGAAUAACUUUUGGAAACGAAAGCUAAUACCGCAUAAGCCCUAAGGGGGAAAGAUUUAUCGCCAAUAGAUGAGCCCGCGCUAGAUUAGCUAGUUGGUGAGGUAAGAGCUCACCAAGGCUACGAUCUAUAGCUGGUCUGAGAGGAUGGUCAGCCACACUGGGACUGAGACACGGCCCAGACUCCUACGGGAGGCAGCAGUGGGGAAUCUUGCACAAUGGAGGAAACUCUGAUGCAGCGAUGCCGCGUGAGUGAAGAAGGCCUUUGGGUUGUAAAGCUCUUUUGUAGGGGAAGAUAAUGACUGUACCCUAAGAAUAAGGUCCGGCUAACUUCGUGCCAGCAGCCGCGGUAAUACGAAGGGACCUAGCGUAGUUCGGAAUUACUGGGCGUAAAGCGCGCGUAGGCCGUUGAGUUAGUUAAUUGUGAAAUCCCAAAGCUUAACUUUGGAACUGCAAUUAAAACUGCUCGACUAGAGUUUGAUAGAGGAAAGCGGAAUACAUAGUGUAGAGGUGAAAUUCGUAGAUAUUAUGUAGAACACCAGUUGCGAAGGCGGCUUUCUGGGUCAACACUGACGCUGAGGCGCGAAAGUAUGGGUAGCAAAGAGGAUUAGAUACCCUCGUAGUCCAUACCAUAAACGAUGAUUGCUAGAUGUUGGAAAUUUAUUUUCAGUAUCGCAGCUAACGCAUUAAGCAAUCCGCCUGGGGAGUACGACCGCAAGGUUAAAACUCAAAUGAAUUGACGGGGACCCGCACAAGCGGUGGAGUAUGUGGUUUAAUUCGAUGCAACGCGAAGAACCUUACCAGGGCUUGACAUCCUGCGAACCUCUGGGAAACCGGAGGGUGCCUUCGGGAACGCAGAGACAGGUGGUGCAUGGCUGUCGUCAUCUCGUGUCGUGAGAUGUUGGGUUAAGUCCCGCAACGAGCGCAACCCACGUCUUUAGUUGCCAGCAUUCAGUUGGGCACUCUAGAGAGACCGCCGGUGACAAACCGGAGGAAGGUGUGGAUGACGUCAAGUCAUCAUGCCCCUUACGUCCUGGGCUACACACGUACUACAAUGCUACGGACAAAGAGCAGCGAGCUCGCGAGAGUCAGCAAAUCUCAUAAACCGUGGCUCAGUUCAGAUCGUAGGCUGCAACUCGCCUACGUGAAGGAGGAAUCGCUAGUAAUCGCAGGUCAGCAUACUGCGGUGAAUACGUUCCCGGGCCUUGUACAUACCGCCCGUCACACCAUGGAAGUUGGCCACGCCCGAAGUCGUUACUUCAACCCCUCGGGGAGGAGGAUGCCGAAGGUGGGGCUGAUGACUGGGGUGAAGUCGUAACAAGGUAACCGUA
rnacentral:rRNA from 1 species